rnacentral:rRNA from 1 species
GAUGAACGCUGGCGGCGUGCCUAAUACAUGCAAGUCGAGCGAACAGAUGAGGAGCUUGCUCCUUUGACGUUGGCGGCGGACGGGUGAGUAACACGUAGGUAACCUACCUAUAAGACUGGGAUAACUUCGGGAAACCGGAGCUAAUACCGGAUAAUAUUUCGAACUGCAUGGUUCGAUAGUGAAAGAUGGCUUUGCUAUCACUUAUAGAUGGACCGGCGCCGUAUUAGCUAGUUGGUAAGGUAACGGCUUACCAAGGAAACGAUACGUAGCCGACCUGAGAGGGGGAUCGGCCACACUGGAACUGAGACACGGUCCAGACUCCUACGGGAGGCAGCAGUAGGGAAUCUGCCGCAAUGGGCGCAAGCCUGACGGAGCAACGCCGCGUGAGUGAUGAAGGUCUUCGGAUCGUAAAACUCUGUUAUUAGGGAAGAACAAACGUGUAAGUAACUGUGCACGUCUUGACGGUACCUAAUCAGAAAGCCACGGCUAACUACGUGCCAGCCGCCGCGGUAACAC